rnacentral:rRNA from 1 species
AUAUCAAUAAGCGGAGGAAAAGAAACCAACAGGGAUUGCCCCAGUAACGGCGAGUGAAGCGGCAACAGCUCAAAUUUGAAAGCUGGCGCCCCCCCCCGGGGCGCCCGCGUUGUACUUUGGAGAGGACGCUUGGGGCGCGGCGCCUGCCGAGUUCCUUGGAACAGGACGCCACAGAGGGUGAGAGCCCCGUACGGUGGGACGCCUAGCCCGUGCCAAGCUCCUUCGACGAGUCGAGUAGUUUGGGAAUGCUGCUCAAAAUGGGAGGUAAAUUUCUUCUAAAGCUAAAUACCGGCCAGAGACCGAUAGCGCACAAGUAGAGUGAUCGAAAGAUGAAAAGCACUUUGAAAAGAGGGUUAAACAGCACGUGAAAUUGUUGAAAGGGAAGCGCCUGUGGCCAGACGUGCCCCCCGCGGACCCCCCGGCGCCCCGGCGCCGGGCCACGCCAGCGGGGGGCAGGCCAGCAUCGGCUUCCCCAGGGGGACAAAGGCCGCGGGAACGUAGCUCCUCCGGGAGUGUUAUAGCCCGCGGCGCCAUGCCCCUGGGGGGGCCGAGGACCGCGCUACGGCAAGGAUGCUGGCGUAAUGGCCACCGGCGACCCGUCUUGAAACACGGACCAAGGAGUCAAGCAUUGGGGCGAGUGUCUGGGUGCCAAACCCGCACGCGCAAUGAAAGUGAACGCAGGUGGGAGCUACGGCGCACCACCGACCGAUCCGGAUGUCCUCUGAUGGAUUUGAGUAGGAGCCCCGCCGCUUGGACCCGAAAGAUGGUGAACUAUGCCUGUAUAGGGUGAAGCCAGAGGAAACUCUGGUGGAGGCUCGCAGCGGUUCUGACGUGCAAAUCGAUCGUCAAAUAUGGGCAUGGGGGCGAAAGACUAAUCGAACCAUCUAGUAGCUGGUUACCGC